rnacentral:rRNA from 1 species
GACGAACGCUGGCGGCGUGCUUAACACAUGCAAGUCGAACGGUAAGGCCCUUCGGGGUACACGAGUGGCGAACGGGUGAGUAACACGUGGGUGAUCUGCCCUGCACUUCGGGAUAAGCCUGGGAAACUGGGUCUAAUACCGGAUAGGACCCUGGGAUGCAUGUCCUGGGGUGGAAAGCUUUUGCGGUGUGGGAUGGGCCCGCGGCCUAUCAGCUUGUUGGUGGGGUGAUGGCCUACCAAGGCGACGACGGGUAGCCGGCCUGAGAGGGUGACCGUCCACACUGGGACGAGUAUACGCCCCAGACCCCGACGGGAGGCAGGAGGGGGGAAUAUUGCACAAUGGGCACAAGCCUGAUGCAGCGACGCCGCGUGGGGGAUGACGGCCUUCGGGUUGUAAACCUCUUUCAGCACCGACGAAGCGCAAGUGACGGUAGGUGCAGAAGAAGGACCGGCCAACUACGUGCCAGCAGCCGCGGUAA